AUUGAACGCUGGCGGCAGGCUUAACACAUGCAAGUCGAGCGGGGGAAGGUAGCUUGCUACCGGACCUAGCGGCGGACGGGUGAGUAAUGCUUAGGAAUCUGCCUAUUAGUGGGGGACAACAUCUCGAAAGGGAUGCUAAUACCGCAUACGUCCUACGGGAGAAAGCAGGGGAUCUUCGGACCUUGCGCUAAUAGAUGAGCCUAAGUCGGAUUAGCUAGUUGGUGGGGUAAAGGCCUACCAAGGCGACGAUCUGUAGCGGGUCUGAGAGGAUGGUCCGCCACACUGGGACUGAGACACGGCCCAGACUCCUACGGGAGGCAGCAGUGGGGAAUAUUGGACAAUGGGGGGAACCCUGAUCCAGCCAUGCCGCGUGUGUGAAGAAGGCCUUAUGGUUGUAAAGCACUUUAAGCGAGGAGGAGGCUACUUUAGUUAAUACCUAGAGACAGUGGACGUUACUCGCAGAAUAAGCACCGGCUAACUUCGUGCCAGCAGCCGCCGUAA
rnacentral:rRNA from 1 species